rnacentral:rRNA from 1 species
AUUGAACGCUGGCGGCAGGCCUAACACAUGCAAGUCGAGCGGAUGAAGGGAGCUUGCUCCUGGAUUCAGCGGCGGACGGGUGAGUAAUGCCUAGGAAUCUGCCUCGUAGUGGGGGAUAACGUCCGGAAACGGGCGCUAAUACCGCAUACGUCCUGAGGGAGAAAGUGGGGGAUCUUCGGACCUCACGCUAUCAGAUGAGCCUAGGUCGGAUUAGCUAGUUGGUGGGGUAAAGGCCUACCAAGGCGACGAUCCGUAACUGGUCUGAGAGGAUGAUCAGUCACACUGGAACUGAGACACGGUCCAGACUCCUACGGGAGGCAGCAGUGGGGAAUAUUGGACAAUGGGCGAAAGCCUGAUCCAGCCAUGCCGCGUGUGUGAAGAAGGUCUUCGGAUUGUAAAGCACUUUAAGUUGGGAGGAAGGGCAGUAAGUUAAUACCUUGCUGUUUUGACGGUACCAACAGAAUAAGCACCGGCUAACUUCGUG